GAUUGCUGGACUUCUUGCGAGGCGGUUGGCAAGGGGAGGAAGCGAAUGGUUUCCACCGCUAUCUAGAAGAACAACA
rnacentral:sRNA from 1 species